GAUUUCCCCAACAGGGAGCUG
rnacentral:miRNA from 1 species